ensembl:lncRNA
GGCAGAUGAUAUCUGUCUGUAGAAAUAUCUUGUUUGAUUUUACUGACUUUUCCAUUUCAAAUUACAAGGAGCGUAGUCAACCUAGAAAUGCAUGUGCCUUCACAGAUUCCAUACCUACAUAGCCAUAAACACAAGACUAGCUCCCUCUGCUCAUUGUAGCAUAAAAGGUGCUAUUGAACUAACAUUACUAUCAUAUUAUUACAUAUAAAAUACAUUUCAGAGAAGUGGAUGUGUGAAGGUGGAUGUGAGUGCCUCAGGGAUGAAGGAGAGAAAAGAGAGGCAGAGCAGUAGAGGAAGAGGCAGAGCAGUAGAAGAAGUGCAGUAGAGGUAGUGCAGUAGAAGUAGAGGUAGAGCCGUAGAAGUAGUACAGUAGAGGAAGAGGUAGUGCAGUAGAGGAAGAGGUGGAGCAGUAGAGGAAGAGGUAGAGCAGUAGAAGUAGAGGAAGAGGUAGUGCAGUAGAGGAAGAGGUAGUGCAGUAGAAGUAGAGCAGUAGAGGAAGAGGUAGUGCAGUAGAGGAAGAGGUAGUGCAGUAGAAGAAGUGCAGUAGAAGUAGAGGUAGAGCCGUAGAAGUAGUACAGUAGAGGAAGAGGUAGUGCAGUAGAGGAAGAGGUAGUGCAGUAGAAUAGUGCGGCAGAGGUAGAGCAGUAGAGGAAGAGGUGGAGCAGUAGAGGAAGAGGUAGAGCAGUAGAAGUAGUGCAGUAGAGGAAGAGGUAGAGCAGUAGAGGAAGAGGUAGUGCAGUAGAGGAAGAGGUAGAGCAGUAGAAGUAGAGGAAGAGGUGGAGCAGUAGAGGAAGAGGUAGAGCAGUAGAGGAAGAGGUGGAGCAGUAGAGGAAGAGGUAGAGCAGUAGAGGAAGAGGUAGUGCAGUAGAGGAAGAGGUAGUGCAGUAGAGGAAGAGGUAGAGCAGUAGAAGUAGUGCAGUAGAGGAGGAGGUAGAGCAGUAGAGGUAGAGCAGUAAAAGUAGUGCGGUAGAGCAGUAGAGGAAGAGGUAGAGGUAGUGCAGUAGAGGAAGAUGUAGAGGUAGUGCAGUAGAGGUAGAGCAGUAGAGGUAGUGCAGUAGAAGUAGUGCAGUAGAGGCAGUGCAGUAGAAGUAGUGCAGUAGAAGUAGUGCAGUAGAGGAAGAGGUAGAGCAGUAGAGGAAGAGGUAAUGCAGUAGAGGUAGAGCAGUAGAAGUAGUGCAGUAGAGGUAGUGCAGUAGAAGUAGAGCAGUAGAGGUAGUGCAGUAGAAGUAGAGCAGUAGAAGUAGAGC